GCUGCAACUGUUUAUUAAAAACACAGCACUGUGCAAAAUCGUAAGAUGACGUAUACGGUGUGACGCCUGCCCGGUGCCGGAAGGUUAAUUGAUGGGGUUAGACUUCGGUCGAAGCUCUUGAUCGAAGCCCCGGUAAACGGCGGCCGUAACUAUAACGGUCCUAAGGUAGCGAAAUUCCUUGUCGGGUAAGUUCCGACCUGCACGAAUGGCGUAAUGAUGGCCACGCUGUCUCCACCCGAGACUCAGUGAAAUUGAAAUCGCUGUGAAGAUGCAGUGUACCCGCGGCUAGACGGAAAGACCCCGUGAACCUUUACUACAGCUUGGCACUGAACAUUGACCCUACAUGUGUAGGAUAGGUGGGAGGCUUUGAAGCACGUACGCCAGUAUGUGUGGAGCCGUCCUUGAAAUACCACCCUUGUAGUGUUGAUGUUCUAACGUCGACCCCUAAUCGGGGUUGCGGACAGUGCCUGGUGGGUAGUUUGACUGGGGCGGUCUCCUCCCAAAGAGUAACGGAGGAGCACGAAGGUGGGCUAAUCACGGUUGGACAUCGUGAGGUUAGUGCAAUGGCAUAAGCCCGCUUGACUGCGAGAAUGACAAUUCGAGCAGGUGCGAAAGCAGGUCAUAGUGAUCCGGUGGUUCUGAAUGGAAGGGCCAUCGCUCAACGGAUAAAAGGUACUCCGGGGAUAACAGGCUGAUACCGCCCAAGAGUUCAUAUCGACGGCGGUGUUUGGCACCUCGAUGUCGGCUCAUCACAUCCUGGGGCUGAAGUCGGUCCCAAGGGUAUGGCUGUUCGCCAUUUAAAGUGGUACGCGAGCUGGGUUUAGAACGUCGUGAGACAGUUCGGUCCCUAUCUGCCGUGGGCGUUGGAAGAUUGAAGGGGGCUGCUCCUAGUACGAGAGGACCGGAGUGGACGAACCUCUGGUGUUCGGGUUGUGUCGCCAGACGCAUUGCCCGGUAGCUAAGUUCGGAAUCGAUAACCGCUGAAAGCAUCUAAGCGGGAAGCGAGCCCUGAGAUGAGUCUUCCCUGAUACUUUAAGUAUCCUAAAGGGUUGUCGGAGACUACGACGUUGAUAGGUCAGGUGUGUAAGUGCUGUGAGGCAUUGAGCUAACUGAUACUAAUUGCCCGUGAGGCUUAACCAUACAACACCCAAGGGGUUU
rnacentral:rRNA from 1 species